UACGUAGGGGGCAAGCGUUGUCCGGAAUCACUGGGCGUAAAGGGCGCGUAGGCGGCCGGCCAAGUCGGGGGUGAAAGCCUGUGGCUCAACCACAGAAUGGCCCUCGAUACUGGACGGCUCGAGACCGGAAGAGGUUGGUGGAAUUGCGAGUGUAGAGGUGAAAUUCGUAGAUAUUCGCAAGAACACCGGUGGCGAAGGCGGCCAACUGGUCCGGAUCUGACGCUGAGGCGCGAAAGCGUGGGGAGCAAACAGG
rnacentral:rRNA from 1 species